rnacentral:rRNA from 1 species
GUGCCAGCAGCCGCGGUAACACGGAAGCCCCGAGCGUUGUUCGGAUUCAUUGGGCGUAAAGGGUGCGUAGGCGGCGCGGAAAGUCCGGCGUGAAAGGCAGGGGCUCAACCUCUGGACUGCGUUGGAUACUUCCGUGCUUGAGGACUGGAGGGGAGACUGGAAUUCACGGUGUAGCAGUGAAAUGCGUAGAUAUCGUGAGGAAGACCGGUGGCGAAGGCGAGUCUCUGGACAGAUCCUGACGCUGAGGCACGAAGGCUGGGGGAGCGAACAGGAUUAGAUACCCUGGUAGUCCCAGCAGUAAACGAUGUGAGCUUGAUGUGGGGGGAUUCGACCCCUUCCGUGUCGAAGCUAACGCGAUAAGCUCACCGCCUGAGGAGUACGGCCGCAAGGCUAAAACUCAAAGAAAUUGACGGGGACCCGCACAAGCGGUGGAGUAUGUGGCUUAAUUCGAUGCAACGCGAAGAACCUUACCUGGCCUUGACAUGCAUUGUGUCGUCGGUGAAAGCCGGCUAGUCCUGGAAACAGGACGCUUUGCACAGGUGCUGCAUGGCUGUCGUCAGCUCGUGUCGUGAGAUGUUGGGUUAAGUCCCGCAACGAGCGCAACCCUUGUGGUCAGUUACUAACCGGCUUAGCCGGAGGACUCUGGCCAGACUGCCCUGUCAAACGGGGAGGAAGGUGGGGACGACGUCAAGUCAGUAUGGCCCUUAUGGCCAGGGCUGCACACGUACUACAAUGCCCGGUACAAUGUGAACCGAAACCGCGAGGUGGAGGAAAUCGCUCUUGAAAACCGGGCCCAGUUCGGAUUGGAGUCUGCAACUCGACUCCAUGAAGUCGGAAUCG